rnacentral:rRNA from 1 species
CAGUAGCCGCGGGAAUACGAAGGGGGCUAGCGUUGUUCGGAAUUACUGGGCGUAAAGCGCACGUAGGCGGAUCGAUCAGUCAGGGGUGAAAUCCCAGGGCUCAACCCUGGAACUGCCUUUGAUACUGUCGAUCUGGAGUAUGGAAGAGGUGAGUGGAAUUCCGAGUGUAGAGGUGAAAUUCGUAGAUAUUCGGAGGAACACCAGUGGCGAAGGCGGCUCACUGGUCCAUUACUGACGCUGAGGUGCGAAAGCGUGGGGAGCAAACAGGAUUAGAUACCCCCGUAGUCCCUGUCUCUUAUAC